rnacentral:rRNA from 1 species
CCUACGGGAGGCAGCAGUGGGGAAUUUUGGACAAUGGGGGCAACCCUGAUCCAGCAAUGCCGCGUGUGUGAAGAAGGCCUUCGGGUUGUAAAGCACUUUUGUCCGGAAAGAAAUCGCGCUGGUUAAUACCUGGCGUGGAUGACGGUACCGGAAGAAUAAGCACCGGCUAACUACGUGCCAGCAGCCGCGGUAAUACGUAGGGUGCGAGCGUUAAUCGGAAUUACUGGGCGUAAAGCGUGCGCAGGCGGUUUUGUAAGACAGGCGUGAAAUCCCCGGGCUUAACCUGGGAAUUGCGCUUGUGACUGCAAGGCUAGAGUGCGUCAGAGGGGGGUAGAAUUCCACGUGUAGCAGUGAAAUGCGUAGAGAUGUGGAGGAAUACCGAUGGCGAAGGCAGCCCCCUGGGACGUGACUGACGCUCAUGCACGAAAGCGUGGGGAGCAAACAGGAUUAGAUACCCUGGUAGUCCACGCCCUAAACGAUGUCAACUAGUUGUUGGGGAUUCAUUUUCUCAGUAACGUAGCUAACGCGUGAAGUUGACCGCCUGGGGAGUACGGUCGCAAGAUUAAAACUCAAA